CGGGACGGGGUGGAGUAAUGUCUGGGAAACUGCCUGAUGGAGGGGGGUAACUACUGGAAACGGUAGCUAAUACCGCAUAACGUCGCAAGACCAAAGAGGGGGACCUUCGGGCCUCUUGCCAUCGGAUGUGCCCAGAUGGGAUUAGCUAGUAGGUGGGGUAACGGCUCACCUAGGCGACGAUCCCUAGCUGGUCUGAGAGGAUGACCAGCCACACUGGAACUGAGCACGGUCCAG
rnacentral:rRNA from 1 species